UUGUCUCAAAGAUUAAGCCAUGCAUGUCUCAGUACAAGCCAAAUUAAGGUGAAACCGCGAAAGGCUCAUUAAAUCAGUUAUGGUUCCUUAGAUCGUACCCACUUUUACUUGGAUAACUGUGGUAAUUCUAGAGCUAAUACACGCAAACAGAGCUCCGACCGGAGACGGAAGGAGCGCUUUUAUUAGAUCAAAACCAAUCGGUGGCGGGUUCGCUCGUCAUCGUACACCUUGGUGACUCUGAAUAACUUUAAGCUGAUCGCACGGUCUUGCACCGGCGACGCAUCUUUCAAAUGUCUGCCUUAUCAACUGUCGAUGGUAGGUUCUGCGCCUACCAUGGUUGUAACGGGUAACGGGGAAUCAGGGUUCGAUUCCGGAGAGGGAGCCUGAGAAACGGCUACCACAUCCAAGGAAGGCAGCAGGCGCGCAAAUUACCCACUCCCGGCACGGGGAGGUAGUGACGAAAAAUAACGAUACGGGACUCAUCCGAGGCCCCGUAAUCGGAAUGAGUACACUCUAAACCCUUUAACGAGGAUCAAUUGGAGGGCAAGUCUGGUGCCAGCAGCCGCGGUAAUUCCAGCUCCAAUAGCGUAUAUUAAAGUUGUUGCGGUUAAAAAGCUCGUAGUCGAAUCUGUGUCCCGCGCCGCCGGUUCAUCGUCCGCGGUGUUAACUGGCGUGUCGCGGGACGUCCUGCCGGUGGGCUUAGCUCUUCGCGGGGCGGCCCAACUCAAUCCCGCCGCGGUGCUCUUCACUGAGUGUCGAGGUGGGCCGGCUCGUUUACUUUGAACAAAUUAGAGUGCUUAAAGCAGGCUAAAACUUCGCCUGAAUACUGUGUGCAUGGAAUAAUGGAAUAGGACCUCGGUUCUAUUUUGUUGGUUUUCGGAACCCCGAGGUAAUGAUUAAUAGGAACGGAUGGGGGCAUUCGUAUUGCGACGUUAGAGGUGAAAUUCUUGGANCGUCGCAAGACGAACAGAAGCGAAAGCAUUUGCCAAAAACGCUUUCAUUGAUCAAGAACGAAAGUUAGAGGUUCGAAGGCGAUCAGAUACCGCCCUAGUUCUAACCAUAAACGAUGCCAACUAGCGAUCCGCCGACGUUCCAUUAUAUGACUCGGCGGGCAGCUUCCGGGAAACCAAAGCUUUUGGGUUCCGGGGGAAGUAUGGUUGCAAAGCUGAAACUUAAAGGAAUUGACGGAAGGGCACCACCAGGAGUGGAGCCUGCGGCUUAAUUUGACUCAACACGGGAAACCUCACCAGGCCCGGACACCGGAAGGAUUGACAGAUUGAGAGCUCUUUCUUGAU
rnacentral:rRNA from 1 species